GGGGCUGCUUUGGUUUUGACAGCGCUGAUAUCGGACGGUAAGCACGUCGGGCCUCUCCGGUGGCCGGCCCGUUAAUCUCAGACAUCGGAAACAUUCAGUUGCCAACAACAACUAUGCACUCGCUGCUUAAUCUGCCAUUGUAGAUGAGCUUAAUCGGGCCGGCCAAGGCUGCCGGUCUGACGAGUAUCCCGCCAUCCUUUAGGCCGGUUAUGGGUGGCAUACGGGGUAUCAUCCAAACCGGAUGCGCAAGGCGGAUGCUCCUGCCGUCUUGUCAAGAUUCAGGAGAUAAGCUCCGGAUGGCCUGUCUGCCGGCAGUCCGCUGACGAAAACCAAAGGGAGACUAAACGUGUAGAAAGCUGCCUGGUGCGGUGUUUGGACGGCGGUUCGAGUCCGCCCAGCUCCACC
rnacentral:tmRNA from 1 species